rnacentral:misc_RNA from 1 species
UAAUUUUAUUAACUAGUCACUCAGACUCAAAGUGACAAGUCACUCCAGAGUCGAAUCGCAGACACAGAGUCACAGUGAGUCAGCUAAUUCUUGGUCACCUGGGCACCGUCGAGAGUGGAUAAACCAUGGCAGCUUUCCUAGCGAAAAUAACGCCUAUCAGUUCCCGAAUAAUUCGUAUUUUAGGAUGUAACCCAGGACCCAUGACACUACAGGGCACCAACACCUAUCUCAUUGGCACUGGCAGAAGGUGAUGUAAAUGUAUACAAACUUCCUCGAGCUGAUGUGCCAGAAGACCCCUUGCCUGAGUCAGCCAGACUGAUAAAACUUAAGCACAAAGAGGAAAUCAAAACUGAAGGAGCAACACUCAUAGCUCACCAUACUCCAGGUCACACCACUGACCAUGUUGUUUUGGAAUUGAAUGAAGAGAGGGCAGUGUUUACUGGUGACUGUAUCUUAGGUGAAGGAACAGCAGUGUUUGAGGAUCUUUACACCUAUAUGAAUUCACUAAAAGUAAGCAACUCAUCUUUCCAUUUUU